AAUAUAUAAAACUAUGUAGUUUUGUGUUUCUCUCAUUUCACACGCAGAGGCAGACUGUAUAGCUUCAUCAAAGCUUUCCGUUUCUCUCUCUUGCACCAUUGUCCAACUGCAAAGGAACACCAUCUAACUCGUAGCACCGUCCAUGAAUUCCAGGUUGCAGGUUCAUGUACUGUUCAUCUAUGGCUUCUAAAGCUGAAGAGAUGCCACUGCAAAUGAUGUACCAAUUGAUAUUUUCGACGUGAAAGGUUAUCCAACAUUGUACUUCAGGUCAGCAGGUGGAAAUCUAUUGCAGUACAAUGGGGAACUUACCAAAGAGGAUACAAUUGACUUUAUUCAGAAGAAUCGGGAUAAACUUGCCCAGCAGGAACUUGGAAAAGAUGAGUUAAUUUUGUUUAUCAUUUAAGGUAGUAGUGUCAAACUGUAAUCAACAAAAUGUAACAUGCACUGGCCUGCUGUGAAUUGGGGCAGCUGUGUGGACUGGUUAUUUGGUCAAAUUUCUGGCCACUCCUUGGCCACUACUGUGAAGAAAUUGAUGUUUACUUGUGCUGUCUAUUGUAUCUGGCAGGAGAGAAACUAUAGGAUUUUCUCAUUUUCCCCAUUUUCCCUUUGUUUGCAAUGCUAUGCUGGUACUUAGUUAGGGAUGCUGUAGGUUGAGUGAUUGUGAGCCACCUCAGUUAGGAGUAUUGAUUGAGAUUCUUGAGAGUUGAAAGUAAGUGUUGAGAGAUGUGAGACCUCUAUAUUCAUGUAUUCUUGUUCAUUAUCUUGCUUUGCAGGUUGUCAAGCUGGUCUCAUGUAGGGAGGAGGGUUGAGAUGUUUUGUGGAUCUUGUAAUCGAGUUUGAUCUUAAGGUGGCUCUUCUCAAAGGUCUUAGACAGGAAUUGACAAGAAUUGAUGAGCAGGUAUCUUCUACACAUUGAUAUAUAUAUAUAUAUAUAUACACACGCAUGUACACAAUCACACACGUGGAUGAGGUUAAGGGUGAACCAACUGAAAACCCAUAAUGGUCUUAACAGGUUGAGAGUGAACCUACUGAAAACCUGGAUAUGUUAUAUUUUUUGUAAGGGUGAAUUUCGAUAGUUUUUGUUUUCAAAUGGCAGUUAUGAUAGUAGAUUGACAAAAGGAAAAUGGUAAAUUGAUUGCAGUUAUGAUGAACAUCUAUAACUAUGUUUGUGUUUGUGAGCUAUUUUCAUUGAAGUCUGAAGUAGUUAGUCUCAAUUGUUCUCAUUGAUGUGUGUUGUAAUAUAUGUCUUUGUUGUGGGAUUCACAUUUGUUAUGAGUCUAAGUUAAUGCAUCCAUUGAAUUUUUGAACUUUUCAAAACUUUGGUUGUGUAGGUCAUAACUGAGGAGAUGGAAGUUAUUUUUCAAUGAUAGGGAAUACUAAACCAAAAAAAAAAGAUGGGGAAUAUUUUUUGUUAUAAUUGCUUUAAAUUCUUUUUGUGAAAAGAACAAAAGCAAAAACAAACUUUGUAUUUAUGGUUAGUAGAUUCUUGUGAAAUGAAAAUGACACCAUAUUCUGGUUCAAAUGAUGUUGAGUGGUUCCAUGCUAUGGAUACCUCCUUGUAGUGGCAGGGUGACAAGAAGAGAAAAAAAAAGAAAAAAAGCAGGCAUCUAUGUAGGUGCAUGGUUUUAAAAUUUGAUGUCUAGUCAUGUUAAGUGGGCCAAAGUUGUUCUCAGAUAGGUGCCUAUAUUGAACAAGAAGAUGGCCAAACUACUGAAGGUUCCCAGAGUGUGGUUCAUAUUUGUGCCUUCCCAUUAUUAUCAUAUACCAAAAUUUCCUUGUUGUUUUUGUCAGUUCCUCUUAUAUGAUAUGCUGUCUCGAAAUUUGUAGUUUCUAUAAUUAUAAACUUUAUUGAGUACAUUGUGUAGCCAAGACACUGAAAAGAUUAGAGGAGAAGAGUUAGGGAUGGGUGACCAUUUUUUUGUGUGUAGAUGUUAAAUUAUAUGAUUAUGGUUUAGUUCUAGUGCUUUUUUAUGUACAUUCUUGAAUCUAAAUCCCUUAAUUUCUCCCUUGUAGGUUUUGAGCCAUUUGUUAUAUCUGAUGCGUAUAGUAGAGAAGACUGUUCAAAGACGAGUUGCUUUGGCUCUUGCCAACCUUUGUUCUGCAGAGGAUCUGAGAACAAUAUUCAUUGAUAACAAUGGAUUAAAGUUACUACUUGGUCUUCUUGGUUCCACGAACCUAAAGCAGCAACUUGAUGGUUCUAUAGCCUUGUACAAGUUGGCUAACAAAGCCAACAAAGCCAUGACUCUUUCUUCCAUUGAUGCUGCUCCUCCAUCUCUGACGCCACAGAUUGGAGAUUAGAUAUGGACAUGUUUGUUAAUCUGGAGAGCAGAAGCUUGCUCAUUUUGUGUUUGUGUUUUUGUUCAUUUUACCUUACAUGUAUUUUGGUUGCAUUGUAAAUUUUAUACUUGUGGGUAUUACAGGACAUGUUUGGUCAUCUGCACUUGAUAUUAUAUUUUUGUGGAUGUUAGUAGACAUGUUUUUUUGUGGAUAUUAGGAGACGUGUUUGGUAAUCCGCAUGCGGUUGAUAUUGUAUUUUUGUGGAUAUUAGUAGACAUGUUUUUUGUUGAUAUUAUGAGACAGGUUUGGUAAUCCGCAUGCAGUUGAUAUUGUAUUUUUGUUGAUAUUACGCUGAAAUUCGACUAUGGUGUUUAUGAAAA